rnacentral:misc_RNA from 1 species
GACGAACCGUGCGAACGUUGUUCGGAAUCACUGGGCUUAAAGGGCGCGUAGGCGGUCGGCCAAGUCAGGGGUGAAAGCCUUCGGCUCAACCGGAGAAGUGCCUUUGAUACUGGUCGGCUAGAGGGAGGUAGGGGUGCGUGGAACUUCCAGUGGAGCGGUGAAAUGCGUUGAUAUUGGAAGGAACGCCGGUGGCGAAAGCGACGCACUGGACCUCUUCUGACGCUGAGGCGCGAAAGCUAGGGGAGCAAACGGG